AACGAACGCUGGCGGCAUGCCUAACACAUGCAAGUCGAACGAGAUCUUCGGGUCUAGUGGCGCACGGGUGCGUAACGCGUGGGAAUCUGCCCUUUGGUUCGGAAUAACAGUUGGAAACGACUGCUAAUACCGGAUGAUGACGAAAGUCCAAAGAUUUAUCGCCAGAGGAUGAGCCCGCGUAGGAUUAGCUAGUUGGUGUGGUAAAGGCGCACCAAGGCGACGAUCCUUAGCUGGUCUGAGAGGAUGAUCAGCCACACUGGGACUGAGACACGGCCCAGACUCCUACGGGAGGCAGCAGUGGGGAAUAUUGGUCAAUGGGCGAAAGCCUGAUCCAGCAAUGCCGCGUGAGUGAUGAAGGCCUUAGGGUUGUAAAGCUCUUUUACCCGGGAUGAUGAUGACAGUACCGGGAGAAUAAGCUCCGGCUAACUCCGUGCCAGCCGCCGCGGUAA
rnacentral:rRNA from 1 species